rnacentral:rRNA from 1 species
CUCUGUGACUCCUACGGGAGGCAGCAGUGGGGAAUAUUGCACAAUGGGCGCAAGCCUGAUGCAGCAACGCCGUGUGAGUGAAGAAGGUUUUCGGAUCGUAAAACUCUGUCCUAAGGGAAGAAACAAAUGACGGUACCUUAGGAGGAAGCCCCGGCUAACUACGUGCCAGCAGCCGCGGUAAUACGUAGGGGGCAAGCGUUAUCCGGAAUCACUGGGCGUAAAGGGUGCGUAGGCGGCUUAGCAAGCCAGGGGUGAAAGGCAUUGGCUCAACCAAUGUAAGCCUUUGGAACUGUUAAGCUUGAGUGCAGGAGAGGUAAGUGGAAUUCCUAGUGUAGAGGUGAAAUUCGUAGAUAUUAGGAGGAACACCAGUGGCGAAGGCGACUUACUGGACUGUAACUGACGCUGAUGCACGAAAGCGUGGGUAGCGAACAGGAUUAGAUACCCUUGGA